ensembl:misc_RNA 7SK 7SK RNA
GGAUGUGAGGGCAAUCUGGCUGCAACAUCUGUCACCCCAUUGAUCACCAGGGUUGAUUUGGCUGAUCUUGCUGGCUAGGCAGUUGUCCCCUUUCUCCCUCACCACUCUAUGUGCAUCCCUCCUGAAGCUGCACACUUGGUCGAAGAGGACAGCCUUCCCCAAAUAGAGACGGGCCGGUCUUUGGUCGAGGGUAUACGAGUAGCUGUGCUCCCCUGCUAGAACAUUCAAACAAGCUCUCAAAAAAUAGAGACACCUUCAGCAUCACCACCAUUGCUUGUAAAGUUUCCCUGCCCCACAGGUGGGGACCAUGU